AUUGAACGCUGGCGGCAGGCCUAACACAUGCCAGUCGAGCGGAUGAAGGGAGCUUGCUCCUGGAUUCAGCGGCGGACGGGUGAGUAAUGCCUAGGAAUCUGCCUGGUAGUGGGGGAUAACGUCCGGAAACGGGCGCUAAUACCGCAUACGUCCUGAGGGAGAAAGUGGGGGAUCUUCGGACCUCACGCUAUCAGGUGAGCCUAGGUCGGAUUAGCUAGUUGGUGGGGUAAGGCCUACCAAGGCGACGAUCCGUAACUGGUCUGAGAGGAUGAUCAGUCACACUGGAACUGAGACACGGUCCAGACUCCUACGGGAGGCAGCAGUGGGGAAUAUUGGACAAUGGGCGAAAGCCUGAUCCAGCCAUGCCGCGUGUGUGAAGAAGGUCUUCGGAUUGUAAAGCACUUUAAGUUGGGAGGAAGGGCAGUAAGUUAAUACCUUGCUGUUUUGACGUUACCAACAGAAUAAGCACCGGCUAACUUCGUG
rnacentral:rRNA from 1 species